GUGCAUAUAAUUUAAAAAAAUACUAGAUUGUGAUUCUAGAAAUGAGAGUUAAACUCCCUCUAUUCACC
rnacentral:tRNA from 1 species